AACUACUGACACGGGAGUCCCCGGAUCGCGGGGCUGAGAGGGGUUCGCGCCGAACCCGACCGUCGUACCCGAACCGGAUCAUGCCGGCGUGGGAAGUGAGGUGAUCGUGAUG
rnacentral:ncRNA from 2 species